rnacentral:lncRNA from 13 species
AAAAAAAUAAAAAUAUAUGUAAAUAAAAAUUAGCCAAUCGUGGUAGCCCACACCUGUAAUCCCAGCUACUUGGGGGUGCUGAGUUGGGAGGAUUGCUUGAGCCCCCAGCAGUCAAUGCUGCAGUGAGCUGUGAUCAUGCCACUGCACUCUAGCCUGGGUGACAAAGCAAGAUCCCUUCUCUACAAAUUUAAAAAAGAAAAAAAGACUAGGAGUCAUCCACCGUGGGCACUGAGUCUGAUAACCACAUACUUUCCUCAGCAUAAAUCUCCCAGUAGAGUUGCUUUUAGAAAAUAGAAGUCAUCCCAGCACAGUGGCUCAUGCCUGGGAGGCCACUGUGGGAGAAUUUCUUGAACCCUGGAGUUGGAGACCAUCCUGGGCAACAUAGUGAGAUCCGGUCUCUGUAUACAAUUUUUUUUUUUUUUUUUGAGAUGGAGUCUCACUCUGUUGCCCAGACUGGAGUGCAAUGAUCCAAUCUCGGCUCACUGCAACCUCACCUCCCAGGUUCAAGCAAUUCUCCAGCCUCAGCCUCCCAAGCAGCUGGGACUACAGGCGCCUGCCAUCACAUCCAGCUAAUUUUUUUUAUUUUUAGUAGAGAUGGGGUUUUGCCAUGUUGGCCAGGCUGGUCUCAAACUCCUGACCUCAGGUAGUCCACCCACCUUAGCCUCCCAACAUGCUGAGGUUACAGGCGUGAGCCACUGCGCCCAGCCUCUGUAUACAAUUUUUAAAAGUAGCUAGGCAUGGUGGCACACACGUGUGGUCCCAACUACUUGGGAUGCUGAGUUGGGAGAAUGGAUUGAGCCCAGAUGGUAGAGGCUGCAGUGAGUCAUGAUCAUGCCACUGCACUCUAGCCCCAGCAGUGGAGUGAGACCCUGUCUCAAAACAAAAAAAAAAAGAAAGAAAGAAAAUGGAAGUCAAGAAUGGAGGCCCAGAUGACUGUUCAGAGUUUCUUUGUGGGUUGUCUUCUGGCCUCAGAGUAUCCCUUAUCAGAGCCUUGGGCCCUUGGGCUCUUUCACUCAGUACUUGGUGGACCACCAUCACACCCUCCUGAGCAAUGGGUAAGGAGAGCUGCACAAAUGGGCUGUGGACACUGCAGCUCUGGUCUCACGGGAGACCUGGAAG